UACGGAGGGUGCGAGCGUUGUCCGGAAUCACUGGGCGUAAAGGGCGCGUAGGCGGCUUGUCAAGUCAGGGGUGAAAUCCUGCAGCUCAACUGUAGAAGUGCCUUUGAUACUGGCGAGCUCGAGGGAGGUAGGGGUGGGUGGAACUUCCGGUGGAGCGGUGAAAUGCGUUGAUAUCGGAAGGAACGCCGGUGGCGAAAGCGACCCACUGGAUCUCUACUGACGCUGAGGCGCGAAAGCCAGGGGAGCAAACGGG
rnacentral:rRNA from 1 species